rnacentral:lncRNA from 1 species
UAGUGAAGACUUUAACCACGGAGGGUAAUGGUUGCGAGAGUCCACGGAGGGCUCCACCCACAAGCGGUCACGAAGAAGCGGCGUUGUCUAUUCCACCAUGGCUUACGUCCACAUAGGACUAGCCUCACUCACGGUAGAUCUUCACGAAAUAGGCGAUCUUCUUACCCGUACAAACUUCUUGAUUCAACUCCACAACACGAAGUAGGAGGCUCCCAAGCAACAACUAACCAAUCUAGGAGGCACCACCCUCCAAAAGAUAACAGGUGCGGUAGAUCGAUGAACUCCUUGCUCUUGUGCUUCAAAAGAUAGUCUCCUCAACACUCAAUCACUCUCUCAUAGAUUUGGCAUUGGUAGGAGAGAUUGAUUUUGUUGAAAGCAACUUGGGCAGGCUAGAGAUCAAGUUUCAAAUGGUUGGAUUGAAAUCUCUUGAUCUUAACACAUGAGUAGGUGGUUCUCUCUUGGAAAUAUGGAUUUGGUAAGUGGGUGUGUGUUCGGAGUGCUUCUUAUGCGAAUGAGAGGAGGUGGAGAUGUAUAUAUAGGCAUCCCCCAAAAUCCAACCGUUACAACAUUAUUGUCCAACUCGGUGACACCGAAAUGAAUCUCGGUGGUACCGAGUUGCACCAAAUGUGACAACUUCUGAAUUAUGCGUGAGACUGAUAUAUAGAUCUCGGUGGUACCGAUACGAUGACCUAGGGCAGUUUCCGAAUCUCAGUGAGACCGAUUUCAAACUCAGAAAUUCCGCUUCUUGAAAUCUGCUCAACAGAAAGAUGGUCACAUGCUUUUCGGUGACAACGAUGUGAAACUUGGUGGUACCGAGAGAUUAGGAUUUGGCAAAGGAUCUGUCACUUGAAAAGUCCAUAGGGCCCAGUGGGAAAAGUUGGUGGCACCGAUUUUGCUGAUUUGGCUUGGGACACAAAUAUUUGUGGGAGAAUGACUGAAUAUUUUUGGUGGCUAUCUCUAAGCACUUGAGCAACCAAUUCAUCAUAAUAUCUCAUCCCUUUUCAUAGUAUUGGCUUUCCUACGGACUCAAAAGUGAUUCUCACAAAUGUAAAAUGCAGAGUCCUCUUGCUUGAAGCUUGAGCCAAUCCUAUUCCUUCCCUUGCAUCAAGGGGCUUCUCCUCACAAUCCUUCGGCCAAUGCUCUUUGUGGACUAUACCUGAAAUAUAGUAGGUAAAAGAGUUAGUCCAAGAGACAACGUAUGUUGUCAUGAAUUAUCAAAACCACCAAGAGAGUUUAUGUGCUUUCAACUUUGUCAGCUCUCUCUUGCAGGGGGGCUAGAUCAAGGUACUCUGGGAUACAGAAACUACUCUUCAGCCUCCUCAUGGCCUCCCGGAAGCUGUGCCACUACUUCCGAGCACACCACAUC